AAUAAAGGCAUAGAUCAGGCGGUCCGCAAUGCGGACGCGGCCGGGCCGGGGUAGAUAUUACCCCAAGCGCAGCGGUAAUCAAACCGCGGGACUAUA
rnacentral:ncRNA from 2 species